GACGAACGCUGGCGGCGUGCUUAACACAUGCAAGUCGAACGGAAAGGCCCUGCUUUUGUGGGGUGCUCGAGUGGCGAACGGGUGCGUAACACGUGAGUAACCUGCCCUUGACUUUGGGAUAACUUCAGGAAACUGGGGCUACUACCGGAUCGGAGCUCCUGCUGCAUGGUGGGGGUUGGAAAGUUUCGGCGGUUGGGGAUGGACUCGCGGCUUAUCAGCUUGUUGGUGGGGUAGUGGCUUACCAAGGCUUUGACGGGUAGCCGGCCUGAGAGGGUGACCGGCCACAUUGGGACUGAGAUACGGACCAGACUCCUACGGGAGGCAGCAGUGGGGAAUAUUGCACAAUGGGCGGAAGCCUGAUGCAGCAACGCCGCGUGCGGGAUGACGGCCUGCGGGUUGUAAACCGCUGUCGCCUGUGACGAAGCGUGAGUGACGGUAAUGGGUAAAGAAGCACCGGCUAACUACGUG
rnacentral:rRNA from 1 species